AUUGAACGCUGGCGGCAGGCCUAACACAUGCAAGUCGAGCGAGCGGCGGACGGGUGAGUAAUGUAUGGGGACUGCCCGAUAGAGGGGGAUAACUACUGGAAACGGUGGCUAAUACCGCAUACUAUCGGAUAACCCAUAUGGGAUUAGCUAGUAGGUGGGGUAAAGGCUCACCUAGGCGACGAUCUCUAGCUGGUCUGAGAGGAUGAUCAGCCACACCGGGACUGAGAAACGGCCCAGACUCCUACGGAGGCAGCAGUGGGGAAUAUUGCACAAUGGGGGCAAGCCUGAUGCAGCCAUGCCGCGUGAAUGAAGAAGGCCUUAGGGUUGUAAAGUACUUUCAGUGAGGAGGCGUUACUCACAGAAGAAGCACCGGCUAACUCCGUGCCAGCAGCCGCGGUAAUUC
rnacentral:rRNA from 1 species